rnacentral:rRNA from 1 species
CUACGGGAUGCUCCAGUGGGGAAUAUUGCACAAUGGGCGCAAGCCUGAUGCAGCCAUGCCGCGUGUAUGAAGAAGGCCUUCGGGUUGUAAAGUACUUUCAGCGGGGAGGAAGGGAGUAAAGUUAAUACCUUUGCUCAUUGACGUUACCCGCAGAAGAAGCACCGGCUAGACUCCGUGCCAGCAGCCGCGGUAAUACGGAGGGUGCAAGCGUUAAUCGGAAUUACUGGGCGUAAAGCGCACGCAGGCGGUUUGUUAAGUCAGAGGUGAAAUCCCCGGGCUCAACCUGGGAACUGCAUCUGAUACUGGCAAGCUUGAGUCUCGUAGAGGGGGGUAGAAUUCCAGGUGUAGCGGUGAAAUGCGUAGAGAUCUGGAGGAAUACCGGUGGCGAAGGCGGCCCCCUGGACGAAGACUGACGCUCAGGUGCGAAAGCGUGGGGAGCAAACAGGAUUAGAUACCCGCGUAGUC